GACGAACGCUGGCGGCGUGCUUAACACAUGCAAGUCGAACGAAGUGGCGAACGGGUGAGUAACGCGUAAUCAACCUGCCCUUUAGAGGGGGAUAACAGUUGGAAACGACGGCUAAUACCGCAUACUGAAGGAGGGGACUGCGGCGGAGUAGGAAGUUGGGGGGGUAACGGCCCCCCAAGGCGAUGAUCGGUAGCCGGUCUGAGAGGAUGAACGGCCACAUUGGGACUGAGGCACGGCCCAGACCCCCACGGGAGGCAGCAGUGGGGGAACUUCCGCAAAUGGCGAAAGUCUUGCGGAGCAACGCCGCGUGAGUGGUGACGGCCUUCGGGUUGUAAAGCUCUGUUAAUCGGGACGCGGUACCGGAAUAGAAAGCCACGGCUAACUACGUGCCAGCCGCCGCGGUAAUAC
rnacentral:rRNA from 1 species